rnacentral:rRNA from 1 species
CGCGUAGGUGGUAGUGUAAGUCUGGGGUGGAAUCCCAGGGCUUAACCCUGGAACUGCCUUGGAAACUGCAUUACUUGAGUCAGUGAGGGGAGGGUAGAAUUCCUGGUGUAGCGGUGAAAUGCGUAGAUAUCAGGAGGAAGGCCUGUGGCGAAGGCGGCCCUCUGGCGCUGGACUGACACUGAGGCGCGAAAGCGUGGGGAGCAAACAGGAUUAGAUACCCUGGUAGUCCACGCCCUAAACGGUGGGCACUAGGUGUAGGGCUCGUAAGGGUUCUGUGCCGAAGGGAAACCAUUAAGUGCCCCGCCUGGGGAGUACGGCCGCAAGGUUGAA